CACAUUAACACACACAUCAGAGUGAGAUUUAAAAAAUAUGAUGCAAGAAAUGUUUAUUUCCCUGUAAACUUUAUUUUAAAAUGGAUGGUUGCUUUUGAAUCCUGUAUGUCUUAUUAUAUUUAUGUGGAUUCUGAUUGGAAAACUAAUAUUCAGAAAAGUUCUCCAACCAAUCUGACUGAACUUGAACUAUUUUGGAAGGAAAAAUCUGAUAACAAAUAGACUGUGAUUGCAGUAGUUUUACAAAGUAGUGACUCAAGAAGUUUUAUUGACAUAAAAUAAUCUUGGCUCAUCUAAUUCUUUAGCAGUAAUUAAACAUAUGUACACACAUCCAGAAGAGUCUCUGAGACACUGGAGGCCUCUUGAUCCUCUUCUAUAACACUCCCACUGGACAAGAUGCACACAGGCACUUAUGAGCCAACUUUAAUGUGACUUUAUGCCAAAGCUGUUGGAGGACAGCUGAGAAGUCCCUUUGCACUGAGCGGCACUCUGUGCAGUUAGCUGCACAAUAAGUCAGACCUGCAUCCCUUCAUAACCCUCAUUUAUCACAGACCUGUGAGCCUCUUCAGCCUGGGGUAGAGAAAACACAAGAAUUAAACUCCAACAGCUACGAAAGCUGCGCUCACUCUUGCUCAUCAUAAUCUGCAUAAACGAUCAGACCGUAUUUUAUUGGGAGUUGCUGAACUCUUGCUUUCUACUACUUUCAAUUUGGAAAGGUUUCCAGGCAAAGACAUGGAGCCCACAGUGGUGCCGAGAGAAGACAGAGGACAGAGGAACACUACUGAGGCAGCUGAUGCUCAGAGACUGCGCCAAAAAUUGGAGAGGUGCAGAGUUGACCCCGAUCAUUUACUUGGGAUUGUGGGUAUUGUAGGCACCGUUCUCAACCUGCUGGUGGUGGUGUUGGUGUAUAUCUACACCCCUGUUUAACGAGUACAAGGAAACGCUUACAUAAGUAGAUCUACUGAUGGCUUGCAGUACAUUUUCUUGUAUUAGUAUUUUGUUCGGCAGAUGUUUGUAAUUGUGACUGGUCAUUUUAAUCUACUGUGUCUUAUUCAAACAUCAGUUUAAAAUAUAUUUGGUGUGUAUUUAGUGAAUUGUGAAUGCGCAAGAUUCAGAAGUCGUAAACAUGAAAUUAUACUGUGGUGAUAUUUAAUAAUGUGACAGCAUUUGCAACAGCGCGUGUUGUUUGAACUACAGAGUUUUAUUUUAAUGUCUCUUUAUGUGAAUGUUUCUUGGUCAUUUACUGAAGUUUUGUAUUAUGAUGCUUUUUGUGGUAAUUAAUUUUGUUUGAUUUUUAGCUUAUGAUUUUCUUUUAAGCAACAAUAUUCAUCUACUCUAGAAGUCCCUUCUGAAAAACAACAAAAAUAAAUACAUGAUAUAUUCAACCCACAAACAAAAUAAAUCAAAAACCUGGACAGCAUCCAUAGAAAUCAGAGACUAACAUUUUAUUUAUAAUCCUUCAGAUUUUAAAUAUACAAUUUAUUCUUUAAAAAAAGUAGACUUUUUUUGCUUUAAAGGAAGAAAAAGAAUAACAUGUUCGGUUAAAUUUCUAUUAACAGAAAGCUACAUACAGCCACUGUCAGUUAAAUACAACAAAAGGCAACUUACAAACACUUUUUACUUUUAUAUGCAGGGACAGCUUGCAUCCACUUAA